UUUCUCAAUAUAUAAUUUUACCAGAUAAACCCUUUCAUAUUUUUAAUAUCAUUUUUCAAUUCCCCAAACAAGAACAGGGAGGUACAAGUGGCCGAGGGUUUAUCUUGUGUUGCACAGAUUUCCACUUAACUUGCUCAUCACCAAACUUUGAAGGUAGUAUCGGAUUUAUUUAUGUUGAUUUUGCACUCGAUUCGAUGGUUCUAAAUGAUUUAAUCUCACACAAGCUGUGUUGAAUUUUGAUAAAGCUGGUACACUGCCUUCAAAUCUGGCUGUAUCUGGGAACAAAAAUAACAGUUGCAGAAAUUUGGGGUUUUUGGAGGAGUGAAGUUGGGUAGAAGCUUUCGGGCUUCGGUGGUCUUCUUGGUUAUAAUGGUUCUCCACAUCGUGGCUAUUUUAUUGUUUACUAGAGGUAAUCUCCUUCUCAAUCAGGCCGAACUUUCCCAAUAUAGUCGAUGCUCCGAUGUUUUCGAGUCUCCUUGUUUCCUCCUUAUGAUCACAAUGUUAACAACUCCUGUGGAGCAAUGGCUAACAUGACGAAACCUGCAGUUGACGGGGCUCGUUGUAAUUGUUCUCGAUACUCGCAGGUAUUCUUCAUAUUGCUCUCUGGAGAAGUAAAUUUAGCCUGAUUAAUCAUUAAAUCAAAACUCUUUUACUAUAAAACAAUAUCCAUACCACAUUUUAAAAAUCCUGAUUUAUAGGUUUGAUUUUGUUACUCCAAGUACCUUCUAUGCAGGCAAGGACUUCGACUUCAUUGUGAAUCAGUUUGCUUUUGCAUUUUCACAUGUCCCGUGAUACGCAUUUUCCUACAGAACUAUGUUUUUUUAAUGUUCUAUAUUCGAGUAGCUUUGCCAAACCAUUUACCAUUUAUUCCAUUUUUAUUGAUAAGAAUUUCCACAAGUGAAACCAUGGAUGAAUAAGCUAUAUUCAGUUACACUGUCUAAAGGUGAUGAUCUUAUGUUUUAUCAUUUUAUUUUUGAAAUUUUAUUAAGUGACUUGAGGGUCUUUCUAGAGUUGGUUAAUAGGUCACUCUAUUCCCUCAUUAGACUAAACAAAGUUGCAUUGAUGUCUGUGUUUUAUGGUCUAGUUUUUGUACACUUAGCUGGAUAUUAGAUAUUUGAGGAAUUUUAAAUUGACCUUCUUACAAUGUGGAAACUGCAAAAUAGCCUUACACUUUGAUUCUUUGUUUAAAAGGCCUUGUUUUUAUGUAAAUAUCUUAACUAUCCAUACUAGAAGCGACACUAAUUGAGUCAAAUUGACCCUAACCUGUUAAAAUCAACAUAUUUCUAUAUUGACCCCAAAACAGGUCGAAAUCAACACUUGUUUGCUACCUAAACCAAUACAAAUCAACAUAUUUCUAGUAGUACUUCCUAUCAACCUGCAUUGAAGGUUAAGUUUGUUAUUUUUGAUAUCUCUAUCCUUAAAUUUUAUUUCCAUCAUUAAUUAGUCAUUCUACUGCUGUUGGGGCAGAGAAAUUUAAUAAUAUCUUCUAAUUGUUGUGCUAAUGGAAAUAUCUCUUUUUCACUCUUGAAUUUUUGCCCUUCUAAAGUAUUGUCUAACUUUUUAGGAUGAGAAUUUACUAUUCAAAACCCAUCACCCUGCCAGUUGGCAAAGAAAAGAAAGAAACACAAAGUAUUCUUGUUCAUAUUGAAUUUCAGGUACUUAAUUAGCAUGCUUGCAUUUGUGCGAUCUUCCAUCCUAUCUAUUGUGAAUACAAGCUUGUAAAUUUAAGAAAGACAGAGAAGUCAGAUUUGUUAUUGAAGCCAUACAUUCUAUGUUAAGGUGCUACAACUUUGUCGCAAGCAAAAGUUCAUUCUUGAACAUUUAAAUUCACCGAGAAUUUCGAGGAAAUUAUGUAUAUUACAUUAUUGAAUUGACAAGAAUAAUCUAAACUACAUGUGGAUUAAGUUUUGUUGAAGUUUCCUUUUUAAGCAAAUUGGAUGUUGCAAUUUUUAUUGAUGCAUUAGAGUUUUAUUAUAGUAUUAGGUGCAAAAGCAUAUUUUUAAAUUAUGAUGCACCGACAAGGACACGUGUCUCCGAAACGAUACGUAUUGGAUAUGUUGAUAUCCGAUUUUUCAAAAAGUAGCGAUACUAUACAUCACCGGCAUGUUGAUUGAAUUCUUUAAAAUUUUUCAUUUAUAUAAUAUAAGUUUAAUUUUAUACUUUAUUAAUUUUUCUUAUUGAAAUAUUUCAAAUAUAAGUAUCUAUUUUUUAUUUACUAAUAACUUUGAGUUAAAAAUAUACAAUAUUUUUAAUAAAAAUUGAAUUUUUUUAUCGUAGAGUGUUCGAGAAGUGUCAGUAUCGACACAUGUCUGACACGGACACUUUACCCUAGUUGAAGUGUCCAUACUACAAAGUUUUUAAAUAAAGCUUUCUCAAAUCCUAUCUACAUGAUCCAAGAUUUGAUAUAUGCGGGGAUGGAAUUGUGUCCAGAUCAUCAAGGAACAAAGAGACUGUUAAUUUCCAUAAUGACCCUCUACAACUUGAAAUGCAUGUAUAUUUCUAUCCCUCCAAAUCUCUAGCACGAGGAACUGUGGUUCCAUGAGCCAACUUCUAGUUUUGUUUUCCCAGCAACUUUUUUGACAAACAGAAGUAAUUUCUGCACAGGGGCAUGCACUAAUAACAAAGACCUUGAAAUUUGACACCAAAACUCAAAAACACCUCAUUGCAACGGGCUAAUGGAAAAAUGUUUACGCUUGUUUUCUAGUCUCUUAUGAGCCCCUGAGAGAUGAAAUUUUAAAAUUCUGUUUGAAGAGGACUGUUUAAACAACCAUUGGAUUAAACAAAUUGAUGAUCAAGUUUUGUGUAUAAAGGCAUGGCACAUUUUACUUCAAUUUAUCUUUGAUGCCAUAUUAUUUUUUUUGGGGCUUGACAACUGGUGGACUUCCCACUUUUAUUGACGUAGAAAACAGCUAUGGUGCACUAUCAAUGCAGAAGGUAACUUGAUACAUCAGGUCUGGCACUGUAUUUGAUUUAGGCUUUGGCAUCAGAUGCAUCUAAUUUAAUUUCUUAUAUAACAGUUAAUUUGUUUGCCAACGUUCAUAAUUUUUGUCUUUAUUUCCUUCUUUUAUCAUGCCUCUCACUCAGUCACGUUAAAGAUCUUCAUACGGCAUGCAUUACUUUUCAUCAAUGUUUUUGCUCAAAAUCUAUCGUGCUCAUGAAACAACGAUGUGUUUUUAAUUUAAUGUUCUAUUUAAAUAUCUAAAUAAGUUUUCUUUUCCUAAUAUUUAGCUCCCUCUUGAGAUCUUUAUGGCCUUGUCUGUCAGGUGGAUGGCAGGUGCAUCAAGAACUUGCUUCCAACCCUGUACAGAGAGUAUUUGCUCAUAGUACCCUUUCUUGGAGUGGUAUGAUUUCUGCUUAUUUUCAUUAUUUUGGUUGCUAAUUUAUUAGAAGCUAGUUUAUUUAUUCUCCAGAUAUGGGAGAAGUGUAGCGACGGAAAAAAAAAUAAAAAAAAAUGUUGUGUUUCGUUUUAAAAUAAAAUUUUCUUGUAGUACUCGAAUAUAAUUUGGGUUGUAUUAUUACAUCGCUACGACCCUUCCUUAAGAGUUCAAAUUAAAGUUUUGGUCACGAUAGUAAAGUUUCGCGCACUUUUUUAAAAUUUUAUAAGAUGUCGAAAUUUCUUUUAAACGACAAAUUUUUAUUCGAUUUGGUUAUGUUAUGUGGGACUACAUAUUUUAUAUUAAUUGCUACCUAUGUUAAGUCCUUAAAAAUUUAAAAUUUGAUACACUUAUUGUAUAUGCCAAACAACUCUUGAACAUGAUUUUUUUUGUCCUUCAACUGACUUCCAUUUUUUUCAGCCACGUUAUUUUCUCAACUCCUCAAAUUGAUUUUUCCAUUAAGGCACCUGAUUUAAAUAUACCAUUCACCCACAAAGUGCCUAACCACUCCCCACCUCACUAAGUAUUUUAAACUCCCAUUUGUUAACUACCGUUUGGAAAGUUAACUUGCAUGUUGAUUUCACAAAUCCACAAUAUAUACAUAAAAUUCCACUUACAUUAUCAUUUUAAAUCUCAUUUUCAUUUAUUGAAAUCCCCAUUUAAACUACCAACCGCCAUUUCCGUUUGUAAUUGAAAACAUUUUCUUCAACCCCUGUAAUGACGUUUCCUCUCCCAAACCAUCAUACAUAUAAAUAAAUUUCAUUUACCCCACAUCUUUUAAGUACUGAGCUCAUGAAAGCAAAACGUUAUGAGAGGAGCGCCCAGAGAUCAGGCAUAUUGUGAGUUCACACAAUCUCACCACUUUUUAGGCAGUGGCAAAGAAAACUCAAAUAAUGAGCUAUUCGGGGAUGAAGUUGGUAAAUAAGGGACAACGUAAUGACUUCAGAAAGAGGAAGUGGCAGGAUAAGAAUAAGAACACUGGACAGUUUAAGAAGCAGAUAUAUGUGGGUUAGUCAAGCAACCAUUUAUCCUAAUGUCCUAAGUGUAACAACUUUCACAGAGGAGAAUUUCUGUAUGGAAAGUAUGUUUGCUAUAAGUGUAACCAACCUGGCCACGUGGUAUCUUCGUGCCCGUUGACUAAGAAACCCAAGCAAGAGAAGAAAUGAAAAGCAAGGGUGAUUGCUUUGACUCACGACAUGGCUACCUAAAAUUCGGACGUAAUACCAGGUAUUUUAUCCAUCUCUAGUAUUCAUGUUUAUGUCCUCAUUGAUUCUGGUAUGACACAUUCAUUUAUAUCUAAUGCAUGUCUAGCUAUGACUAAUGUUUCAUGUCAGAAAAAUGAUAGUGUACUACAGGUUAGUAUGCUAUCAGGGGGAACUAUUGAUACAGAUAGAAUAGCAAAGGGGAUGCAGAUAAUUUUUGAUGGACUGACAUUAGAAGCCGACUUGUAUGCUAUAGAGAUGAAAGAUUUUGAUAUUAUUUUAGGCAUGGAUUGGUUAGGUGAAAAUCGAGCCAUAAUGGUAUGUUUUAAGAAAGAUGUAAUUUUUCGAAAAACUGGAAAAGAGGAGUUCAGACUUUAUGGAUAUCUUGUCAUUCUUACUAGUACCACAUCUCAAGAGAAAAUAUUAAAUGAUGUACCAAUUAUAUUGGAAUAUGCUAAUAUGUUUUCAGAUGAUCUAUCGGGUACUCCGCCCUAUAAACAAGUGGAAUUCUUGGUAGAUCUGGUACCUGGAGCUAUUCAUGUGUCCAAAGUUUCAUACCGAAUGGCGCCAAAGGAAUUACAAGAGUUGAAGAUAUUGUUAAAAGGACUUCUAGACAAGGAUUCAUUAGACUAAGUAUAUCUCCGUGGGGAGCUCCGGUACUAUUUGUAAAGAAGAAAGAUGGUACUAUGAGGUUGUGCAUCGACUAUCAUGAACUAAAUACGUAGACGAUCAAGAAUUAGUAUCCUCUUUUGAGGAUUGAGGACCUGUUUGACCAGUUGAAGGGUGAAUCCGUGUUCUCGAAAUUUAACCCCCGUUUGCCCCCAUUCUUGCCAAAUUUUAAUGGUUGAAAUAGUGUUUUUAUGAAAAAUGUGUGGUUGAAAAAGAAUGAAAAGUGUUUGAUUUGUGUAUAAUAUUAUUUUAUGGAAGAUUAUGUGGUUGAAAAUAAGAGAGAAAAAGAAUGAGAAUGAGAAUUAGGACCAAACAGGGGUUUAAUUUAAGGUGGGGCUACCAUCAACUGAAGAUUAAGUCAGGUGAUAUAUCAAAGACGACAUUUAGGACUCGAUAUGAGCAUUAUGAGUUUAUGGUGAUGCCCUUUGGCUCAACGAAUGCCCCUACAGUAUUUAUGAACUUGAUAAAUAGAGUGUUCCAUCAAUAUUUGGACAUGUUUAUCGUUGUAUUUAUUGACGACAUAUUGAUAUACUCGAGAGAUUCUCAGCAACACGAAGAACAUUUAAGGAUAGUUUUGGAAACACUGCGUGAGGAAAACUUAUAUGUCAAAUUUACGAAAUGUGAAUUUUUCCUGGACCAAAUGAGAUUUCUAGGCCUUACUAUUUCAGAACGAAGAAUUGAAGUGGAUCAAUCCAAAGUGAAUGCAGUGACCAAUUAGCCAGACCUACAAAAGUUGGAAAAGUGUGGAAUUUUCGAUGUUCAGCUGGCUAUUAUCGAUGAUUUAUUGAAGGAUUUUUCAAGAUUACGGGCCCUAUGACAUAGUUGACUCGGAAGGGUACUAUAUUCGUACGACAGGAGAAAUGCAAAAAGAGUUUUGGAGAGUUAAAGGAUAGGCUCGUAUCUACGUCAAUUUUGACUAUUGUUGAUGGUUCGAAAGGUUUUGUGAUUUAUAGCGAUGCAUCCAAACUUAGUUUGGAAUGUGUUUUGAUACAACAUGGGAAAGUGAUAGCUUAAGAUUCGAGGUAAUUGAAGCAAUAUGAAUAGAAUUAUCCCACACAUGAUCUGAAACUAGAAGUGGUAGUACACGCUUUGAAGAUUUGGUGACACUACCUAUAUGGAAGCAAAUGUGAGAUCUAUAUCGAUCAUAAGAGUCUCAAAUACUUUUUCACCUAAAAGGAGUUGAAUAUGAGAUAGUGACGGUGGUUAGAAUUAGUGAAGGAUUACGACUGUACCAUUUUGUACCAUCCAGGUAAGUUUAAUGUAGUUGCUGAUGCGCUAACUAGAAAGAACAUGGGAUAGGUGUCAGCACUGUGUACAAGACGUGAUCAUUUAAUCAGAGAUUUUGAGAACCUGAGAAUUGAAGUAUUAUUGUCACCAGUAAAGACAUCGACGAUGUUAGCAAGUUUUACUGGAAACCGACACUCAAUGAUAGAAUAGUAGCUGCUUAGAAAGAUGAUUCAUUUUUGGAAAAGAUCAGGGUUGAUGUGGGAACUAAGAAGAUGAAAGGAUUUGAAAUAGCUGAAGAUGAAGCUUGAUGUUUAAAGGUCGAUUGUACAUGCCAAAGGAUGAAGUGUUAAGGAAUGAGAUUAUGGCUGAAGCUCACUCAGCUCCUUAUGCCGCACACCCAGGACGAAACUAAAAUGUAUCGAGAUUUGUGUGAGACAUUUUGGUGGAGAAAUAAGAAGGGAAAGAUAGCCCUGUUUGUGUCCAAAUGCAUGGUUUGUCAACAAGUGAAGGCUGAACAUUAGAGGCCGUUGAGGCCGUUGAACCACAUGGGCAUACUCGAAUGGAAGUGGGAAAAGAUCGCAAUGAAUUUUUGUCGUUUGUUUUCCUAGAUCAAUGAGAGGUCAUGAUACGAUCUAGGUGAUUGUCGAUCAACUUACAAAAUCUGCUCAUUUCUUUCCAGUGCGAACAACCUAUAGUUUAGAACAACUCAUACAGAUUUAUAUCAGAGAGAUUAUGUGGCUUCAAGUUAACAUUUAGUAUGGCAUACCAUCCACAAACUUACAAACAAUCUAAACAAACUGUCCAAGUUCUUGAAAAUAUGUUGAGAGCUUGUGUCCUAGAUUUGGAAGGUAAAUGGGAAGAUCAUUUGUUGUUGGCUGAAUUUGCAUACAACAAUAGCUUUCUGGCCACAAUUGGCAUGGCACCGUAUGAAGCUUUGUAUGGUAGAUGUUGUUGCUCACCGUUAUAUUGGGAUAAAGUUGGUGAAAGGAGGAUUUUGGGUUCGAAUUUGGUCGAGAAGACUGUGGAGGCUAUAUAUAAAAUUAGAUCAAGAGUUAAGACUGUCCAAGAUCGUCAAAAGAACUAUGCUGACAAAAGGAUAAAAGAAUUGACUUUCGAGGUUAGUAAGAAAGUAUUUCUCAAAGUGGGGCCGAUGAAGAAAAUACUAUGAUUUGGAAAGAAAGGGAAAUUGAGUCCUAGAUUUAUUGGUCCAUUUGAGAUUCUUGAAAAGAUUGGGAAUGUGGCAUAUCGCUUAGCAUUGCCACCCAAGCUUUCAACAGUGCACAACAUAUUUCACAUUUCUAUGUUAAGAAAGUAUAUCCCGGAUCCUAGCCAUGUGAUGAAUGUCCAAACACUGGAUGUCCAGAGUGACAUGAAGUACGAAGAAGCUCCUGUUGUGAUUCUCAAGAGAAAGGACCAUGUUUUGAGAAAUCGAAAGGUUUCACUAGUCAAAGUUUAGUGGAGUAAAAAUGGUGAGGAUGAGGCUACUUGGGAAAGAGAAGAAUACGAUAUAGCUAAGUAUCCCGAUCUCCUUAAACUAGUAAGUUAAAUUUCGAGGACGAAAUUAUUUUAAGUGGGAGAGUUGUAGCGAUCGGAAAAAAAUAAGAAAAAUGUUGUGUUUCAUUUUAAAAUAAAAUUUUCUUGUAGUACUCGAAGAUAAUUUGGGUUGUAUUGUUACGUCGCUACGACCCUUCCUUAGGAGUUCAAAUUAAAGCUUCGGCCACGAUAGUAAAGUUUUGCGUACUUUUUUUAAAUUUUGUAAGAUGUUGAAAUCUCUUUCAAGUGAUAAAUUCGAUUUGGUUAUGUUAUGUGUGACUACAUAUUUUAUAUUAAUCACUGCCUAUGUUAAGUCCUUCAAAAUUUAAAAUUUGAUACACUUAUUGUAUAUGCCAAACAACCAUUGAACUUGAUUUUUAUUUUUUUUUUUCGUCCUUCAACUGACUUCCAUUUUUUUCAGCCACAUUAUUUUCUCAACCACUCAAACUGAUUUUUCCACUAAGGCACCCGAUUUAAAUAUACCAUUCACCAACUAAGUGCCUAACCACUCCCCACCUCACUAACUAUUUUAAACUCCCAUUGUUAACUACCAUUUGGAAAGUUAACUUGCACGUUGAUUUCACAAAUCCACAAUAUAUACAUAAAAUUACAUUUACAUUAUCAUUUUAAAUUUCAUUUUCAUUUAUUUAAAUCCCCAUUUAAAUUGCUAACUGUCACUUCCAUUUGUAAUUGAAAGCAUUAACUUUCUUCAACCCCUAUAAUCACGUUUCCUCUGUGUGAAGAGGGGCCGGAUCACAGACCCAAGGAUUAGUCUAGAAUAGGACACCUUGUAAAAAAAAAAAAAAAAAAAUUCACUUACCCUUUUUCCAUAGACUACAAGCACCUUAGAAUCUAGAAAUUUCUGAUGGAUAAGUUAGGAACAUGUUGAAUUUUCUUACAAAUUGGAUACAAAAGGGAAUUCAAACUCCAAGCAUUUAAGGUAGGAGUUUUUUCGGCACUUUUGUUAAUGAUGUAAGAAUUAUUUGUUUUCGUUUUGCAUUAAACAUAUUAUUGUGUUACUCAUAAUGGAAGCACCUUUUGGUGCUUCAAAUAAGAGAAAGAGAUUGAAGGUGACACUAAUGAUUAAAGUUUGCAUUUGUGUUAUUGUGUUACUCAUGAAGGAAACACCGUUUAGUGGUUCAAAUAAGAGAAAGAUUGACAGUGAUACAAAUGAACAAAGUUUGCAUUUCUGAAAAUAUAUAUUUUUACCAUUUGCUUAAGUAUUUUCCUACUAAGUAUUACUUGUAGUACUCAUUCCUACUAAAAUUUCACAGUUGAUUCAAGGCAUGACAAUGGUUUUGCCUAGAGGAGAGUGCUCUGUGAGCUUUCACUUUUUAUUAAAAUUUCCAAUUUGUGUAAAUUUAUUAUGAAUACUUAGAUGAUGCUUUUAAAUAUGUUUAAAUGUUUGAUUUGUCUAGUUUUAUUUAUGUUUCAUGUCAACCAUAACUUAGAAAAUGUUGGAAUGAC
rnacentral:lncRNA from 1 species